AACCCAAACUUAAAAAUUGAAAAGUAAAAACCCAACUACUACUUUCAAGUGUCAGCGGAAACUUUCAGUGGAGUCAACAUUUCAACAUUUCCCUAAUCAGAAAGGGUUAUAACCGUGGGAAUGAGGAAGAACAUAAAGAACUCUCAACAAUUACUCUAAAAGGAAGUGAAGAAGAAAGGGAGAAAGUUGAACCGAGAAUUAAAGAGAAAAGAGACUCUUUGUGUUUUAGUAGGUAUUGUAUCGAUGUAUCUAAAUUCUUAAUUUCUUUGAAACAAAGUUGUUCGUAGGUUGAAUCUUUGUUUCAUGAUGUAUUUUGGUGAGAAAUAUGUUUGACUUGUUAAUCUCACGAAAGCAAUGUUUUCUUUAA